UUGCAGUUCCUCAUUAUGUCUGUUUGGAGAUGUUGUGAUGAGUGAAUGAAGUCAGACUGUAGAUUUUCCUUCUUCUAGCUGUACUGACUGACCUUUGACCUCAUGUGUUGAUGACUCUUCACCUCUGUCUCCUCUCACAGGGAGAAGAUGAUCUGCAGGAUCCUGCUGCUCAUCAUCCUCACCUCAUGUGUCUCUGGAUCAUUUGUAGUCAAUGUGACACAGACCUGCUAUCAGGCAGAGGAGAACCACAACAAAAGGAAGAAUAUUAAUGAAUCUUACAAAAUGAAUUUAUAAGCAACAACAACCUCUCACCAGCUUGGAGGAUGGAAGAAAUUACAUUGAAGGUAAAAAUAAACAGUUCUGUUGUCUCCUUCCUGGUGGUUUGGGAGUUGUUUUUGUCACGCACCCGGUUCGAGGGACUCAGGGUUAUUAUUAUUAUUAUUGUUUUGGUUGUUGUUUGAGGGUUGUGUCUUCUGCACUGCUGCUGUCCUGUGUUUGUGUACUGUCAGGUGUGUAUGGGUGUGUG